GCGGAUGUGGUGAAAUUGGUAGACACGCACGUUUGAGGGGCGUGUGCGCAAGCAUGGCGGUUCGAGUCCGCCCAUCCGCACCA
rnacentral:tRNA from 5 species